UUUGACCUCGGAUCAGGUAGGAAUACCCGCUGAACUUAAGCAUAUCAAUAAGCGGAGGAAAAGAAACCAACAGGGAUUG
rnacentral:rRNA from 5 species